GGCAGCAUAGCAUAGUGGUUAAGGAGCCAGACUUGUAACUAAAAGGUUGCUAGUUCAAUUCCUGCUGGUGCAC